rnacentral:rRNA from 1 species
UGCUAUACUGCAGUCGAGCGGACAGAAGGGAGCUUGCUCCCGGAUGUUAGCGGCGGACGGGUGAGUAACACGUGGGUAACCUGCCUGUAAGACUGGGAUAACUCCGGGAAACCGGAGCUAAUACCGGAUAGUUCCUUGAACCGCAUGGUUCAAGGAUGAAAGACGGUUUCGGCUGUCACUUACAGAUGGACCCGCGGCGCAUUAGCUAGUUGGUGGGGUAAUGGCUCACCAAGGCGACGAUGCGUAGCCGACCUGAGAGGGUGAUCGGCCACACUGGGACUGAGACACGGCCCAGACUCCUACGGGAGGCAGCAGUAGGGAAUCUUCCGCAAUGGACGAAAGUCUGACGGAGCAACGCCGCGUGAGUGAUGAAGGUUUUCGGAUCGUAAAGCUCUGUUGUUAGGGAAGAACAAGUGCGAGAGUAACUGCUCGCACCUUGACGGUACCUAACCAGAAAGCCACGGCUAACUACGUGCCAGCAGCCGCGGUAAUACGUAGGUGGCAAGCGUUGUCCGGAAUUAUUGGGCGUAAAGGGCUCGCAGGCGGUUUCUUAAGUCUGAUGUGAAAGCCCCCGGCUCAACCGGGGAGGGUCAUUGGAAACUGGGAAACUUGAGUGCAGAAGAGGAGAGUGGAAUUCCACGUGUAGCGGUGAAAUGCGUAGAGAUGUGGAGGAACACCAGUGGCGAAGGCGACUCUCUGGUCUGUAACUGACGCUGAGGAGCGAAAGCGUGGGGAGCGAACAGGAUUAGAUACCCUGGUAGUCCACGCCGUAAACGAUGAGUGCUAAGUGGUUAGGGGGUUUCCGCCCCUUAGUGCUGCAGCUAACGCAUUAAGCACUCCGCCUGGGGGAGUACGGUCGCAAGACUGAAACUCAAAGGAAUUGACGGGGGC